rnacentral:rRNA from 1 species
GACGAACGCUGGCGGCGUGCUUAACACAUGCAAGUCGAACGGAAAGGCCCUGCUUUUGUGGGGUGCUCGAGUGGCGAACGGGUGAGUAACACGUGAGUAACCUGCCCUUGACUUUGGGAUAACUUCAGGAAACUGGGGCUAAUACCGGAUAGGAGCUCCUGCUGCAUGGUGGGGGUUGGAAAGUUUCGGCGGUUGGGGAUGGACUCGCGGCUUAUCAGCUUGUUGGUGGGGUAGUGGCUUACCAAGGCUUUGACGGGUAGCCGGCCUGAGAGGGUGACCGGCCACAUUGGGACUGAGAUACGGCCCAGACUCCUACGGGAGGCAGCAGUGGGGAAUAUUGCACAAUGGGCGGAAGCCUGAUGCAGCAACGCCGCGUGCGGGAUGACGGCCUUCGGGUUGUAAACCGCUUUCGCCUGUGACGAAGCGUGAGUGACGGUAAUGGGUAAAGAAGCACCGGCUAACUACGUGCCAGCAGCCGCGGUGAUACGUAGGGUGCGAGCGUUGUCCGGAUUUAUUGGGCGUAAAGGGCUCGUAGGUGGUUGAUCGCGUCGGAAGUGUAAUCUUGGGGCUUAACCCUGAGCGUGCUUUCGAUACGGGUUGACUUGAGGAAGGUAGGGGAGAAUGGAAUUCCUGGUGGAGCGGUGGAAUGCGCAGAUAUCAGGAGGAACACCAGUGGCGAAGGCGGUUCUCUGGGCCUUUCCUGACGCUGAGGAGCGAAAGCGUGGGGAGCGAACAGGCUUAGAUACCCUGGUAGUCCACGCUGUAAACGGUGGGUACUAGGUGUGGGGUCCAUUCCACGGGUUCCGUGCCGUAGCUAACGCUUUAAGUACCCCGCCUGGGGAGUACGGCCGCAAGGCUAAAACUCAAAGGAAUUGACGGGGCCCCGCACAAGCGGCGGAGCAUGCGGAUUAAUUCGAUGCAACGCGUAGAACCUUACCUGGGUUUGACAUGGAUCGGGAGCGCUCAGAGAUGGGUGUGCCUCUUUUGGGGUCGGUUCACAGGUGGUGCAUGGCUGUCGUCAGCUCGUGUCGUGAGAUGUUGGGUUAAGUCCCGCAACGAGCGCAACCCUUGUUCACUGUUGCCAGCACGUUAUGGUGGGGACUCAGUGGAGACCGCCGGGGUCAACUCGGAGGAAGGUGGGGAUGACGUCAAGUCAUCAUGCCCCUUAUGUCCAGGGCUUCACGCAUGCUACAAUGGCUGGUACAGAGAGUGGCGAGCCUGUGAGGGUGAGCGAAUCUCGGAAAGCCGGUCUCAGUUCGAAUUGGGGUCUGCAACUCGACCUCAUGAAGUCGGAGUCGCUAGUAAUCGCAGAUCAGCAACGCUGCGGUGAAUACGUUCCCGGG